rnacentral:rRNA from 1 species
UGGAGGAAAGCAGGGGAUCGCAAGACCUUGCGCUUUUGGAGUGGCCGAUGCCUGAUUAGCUAGUUGGUGGGGUAUGGCCUACCAAGGCGACGAUCAGUAGUUGGUCUGAGAGGACGACCGGCCACACUGGGACUGAGACACGGCCCAGACUCCUACGGGAGGCAGCGGUGGGGAAUUUUGGACAAUGGGCGAAAGCCUGAUCCAGCAAUGCCGCGUGAGUGAAGAAGGCCUUCGGGUUGUAAAGCUCUUUCAGUCGAGAAGAAAAGGUUGUGACUAAUAAUCACAACUCAUGACGGUAUCGACAGAAGAAGCACCGGCUAACUACGUGCCAGCAGCCGCGGUAAUACGUAGGGUGCGAGCGUUAAUCGGAAUUACUGGGCGUAAAGGGUGCGCAGGCGGCUUUGUAAGUCAGAUGUGA